rnacentral:rRNA from 1 species
AGUUUGAUCCUGGCUCAGGAUGAACGCCGGCGGUGUGCCUAAUACAUGCAAGUCGAACGCGUUGGUCUAAUUGACUCCUGGUGCUUGCACCGGUUAAAUUUUGGUCGCCCACGAGUGGCGGACGGGUGAAUAACGCCUAGGCCACCUGCCCAAAAGCGGGGGACAACAUUUGGAAACACAUGCUAAUACCACAUAACAUCGUUGUUGCUGCAUAAACAACGUUUCAAAGAUGGCCUCUGGCUAUCACUUCUGGAUGGACCUGCGGUGCAUUACCUUGUGUGGUGGAGUAAUGGCGUACCAAGGCGAUGAUGCAUAGCCGAGUUGAGAGACUGAUCGCCCACAAUGGUAUUGAGACACGGCCCAUACUCUUACGGGAGGCAGCAGUAGGGAAUUUUCCACAAUGGGCGCAAGCGUGAUGGAGCAACACCGCGUGAGUGAAGAAGGGUUUCGGCUCGUAAAGCUCUGUUGUUAAAGAAGAACAUGCGUGAGAGUAACCGUUCACGCAUUGACGGUAUCUAACCAGAAAGUCUCGGCUAACUACGUGCCAGCAGCCGCGGUAAUACGUAGGUGGCAAGCGUUAUCCGGAUUUAUUGGGCGUAAAGAGAGUGCAGGCGGUCUAUUAAGUCUGAUGUGAAAGCCUUCGGCUUAACCGGAGAAGGGCAUCGGAAACUGGCUAACUUGAGUGCAGAAGAGGGUAGUGGAACUCCAUGUGUAGCGGUGGAAUGCGUAGAUAUAUGGAAGAACCCCAGUGGCGAAGGCGGCUACGUGGUCUGUAACUGACGAUGAGACUCGAAAGCAUGGGUAGCGAACAGGAUUAGAUACCCUGGUAGUCCA